rnacentral:tRNA from 1 species
GCCUGGGUGGCUCAGUGGGUUGAGCGUCUGAUUUCAGCUCAGGUCAUGGUCUCACGGUUUGUGAGUUCAAGUCCUAUGUCGGGCU